GACGUAGGUGGCGAACGUUAUCCGGAAUUAUUGGGCGUAAAGGAUGCGUAGAUGGUGUAGUAAGUUAUCGGUGGCAAAUCGAGGCUCAACCUCGUGGAAGUCGGUAAUACUGCUAUGCUAGAGGAUAGGAGAGGUUAACGGAACUCCCUGUGGAGCGGUGAAAUGCGUAGAUAUAGGGAAGAACACCAAUAAGGCGAAGGCAGUUAACUAUUCUAUUCCUGACAUGGAGGCAUGAAAGCGUGGGGAGCAAAACGG
rnacentral:rRNA from 1 species